ensembl:lncRNA
GCCUCUGAUUCAGACCUCGGUUUUGAAGUGGAGCAGUGAGUGCAGAGCACGCGUGAGCUGGGUGUAGAGACAGGCGUGUGUGCACGUGGCACGUUUACUCAGAGGCACACAUAUUUGAUUUCAUACACUAUUGUUGAAGGGACUCUUCCGGAUGCCUUUUUAUGUAGCUUGAGUGCAGGGCUGUGACAGAUCCAGCUCCUACCCUUCCCCUUUCUUUGCUUUCAACAUAGUUCUCCCACAUCAAGUGUUUUCAUAACAGGAAUUAGAUGGAACAACGUAUUUAUCUCGUGAUUACUGUAAUUUAACACCAGUUGUACAGUACACGUGGAGGGCUGCACACUGCUCCAAGCACGUUACGCAUAUUAUCUGCUGCAAUCCUAUUAUUACUCUUGGAAGUGGGUCGCAUUAUAUCUCCUCAUUUUACAGACCAGGAAACUGAGGCAAGUUUCCUUAUCUGCUGGCGAUCUGGAUUUGUAUGGGGCUUCUGUUGGGUGAUGGAGUUCAUCAAACCGGGGUUCAUCAUAGGAAUGGUGCACAUAUCUGUGAGCUGUGCCUUUGCCCGGAAUGAUAAUAGAGAGAGGCUGGGAGGUAAGUGAUUCAGGCUCUGCGUUGGAGGUGAUUGACUAGUGAGGGGGCAGAGGGAAGAAUCUCUGAAUCAAAAUUGUCUGGAUAUUUGCCUCUCACCAAUGUGGCUUCAGGGAUAUUGUCUUCCUUAGUGCCAACCAUAGCGCCUGGCACCUAGUAAGCAACUGAAAAAUAUUUAUUGACUAUGUGAAGGAAUGAGUGAUGGGUAAAGCAAAUGUGAUCAGAGAAAGUUCUGUGAUCUGCCCAAGGUCACGUAACUGCUCAAUGGCAGAACUAACUUUGGAAUCAAAAUGACCUGAGUGCGACAGAACCUUUGGUGUUAGGUUCUUUGUGUGGUCACUCUCAUCUCCUGUUCAGAUUUUUAACUCUUUGGACACAGAGACUGUGUACAGAUCAGUAUAACUGAAGCUAUUAUUUAGCAGUGGGAGACUGAGACAAAGCUGGAUGGCUGUGUGCAUGUAUGUGCACUUUUGUUAGUUAUGAUGUGCU